rnacentral:rRNA from 1 species
AAAAAAGGUAAGCUACUAAGAGCGAAUGGUGGAUGCCUUGACUGGUAAAGGCGAUGAAGGACGUACUAGACUGCGAUAAGCUACGGGGAGCUGUCAAGAAGCUUUGAUCCGUAGAUUUCCGAAUGGGGCAACCCAAUGUAUAGAGAUAUACAUUACCUAUAUAGGAGCGAACGAGGGGAAUUGAAACAUCUUAGUACCCUCAGGAAAAGAAAUCAAUAGAGAUUGCGUCAGUAGCGGCGAGCGAAAGCGCAAGAGGGCAAACCCAGUGCUUGCACUGGGGGUUGUAGGACUGCAAUGUGCAAGAGGUAAGUUUAGCAGAACAUUCUGGAAAGUAUAACCAUAGAGGGUGAUAGUCCCGUAUGCGAAAAACAAACCUUAGCUAGCAGUAUCCUGAGUAGGGCGGGACACGAGGAAUCCUGUCUGAAUCCGGGUCGACCACGAUCCAACCCUAAAUACUAAUACCAGAUCGAUAGUGCACAAGUACCGUGAGGGAAAGGUGAAAAGAACUGAGGUGAUCAGAGUGAAAUAGAACCUGAAACCAUUUGCUUACAAUCAUUCAGAGCCCUAUGUAGCAAUACAGGGUGAUGGACUGCCUUUUGCAUAAUGAGCCUGCGAGUUGUGGUGUCUGGCAAGGUUAAGCAAACGCGAAGCCGUAGCGAAAGCGAGUCUGAAUAGGGCGCUUAGUCAGAUGCUGCAGACCCGAAACGAAGUGAUCUAUCCAUGAGCAAGUUGAAGCUAGUGUAAGAACUAGUGGAGGACUGAACCCAUAGGCGUUGAAAAGCCCCGGGAUGACUUGUGGAUAGGGGUGAAAGGCCAAUCAAACUUCGUGAUAGCUGGUUCUCUCCGAAAUAUAUUUAGGUAUAGCGUUGUGUCGUAAUAUAAGGGGGUAGAGCACUGAAUGGGCUAGGGCAUACACCAAUGUACCAAACCCUAUCAAACUCCGAAUACCUUAUAUGUAAUCACAGCAGUCAGGCGGCGAGUGAUAAAAUCCGUCGUCAAGAGGGAAACAACCCAGACUACCAGCUAAGGUCCCUAAAUCUUACUUAAGUGGAAAACGAUGUGAAGUUACUUAAACAACCAGGAGGUUGGCUUAGAAGCAGCCAUCCUUUAAAGAAAGCGUAAUAGCUCACUGGUCUAGUGAUUUUGCGCGGAAAAUAUAACGGGGCUAAAGUAAGUACCGAAGCUGUAGACUUGCACACAACUUAGAUUAUUUAAGUUUAGAAUAUGAGAAACUAAGUUAUAUGUUUAGUUAUAUUUUUACUGAUUUUUAUAGAGUAAAGAUAGAAAUAAAACUUAGUAAAAUCAGUAAAAAUAUUCUUAGACUAAAGUUAAGUAGUUUAAGUUGUGUGCAAGUGGUAGGAGAGCGUUCUAUUUGCGUCGAAGGUAUACCGGUAAGGAGUGCUGGAGCGAAUAGAAGUGAGCAUGCAGGCAUGAGUAGCGAUAAUUAAUGUGAGAAUCAUUAACGCCGUAAACCCAAGGUUUCCUACGCGAUGCUCGUCAUCGUAGGGUUAGUCGGGUCCUAAGUCGAGUCCGAAAGGGGUAGACGAUGGCAAAUUGGUUAAUAUUCCAAUACCAACAUUAGUGUGCGAUGGAAGGACGCUUAGGGCUAAGGGGGCUAGCGGAUGGAAGUGCUAGUCUAAGGUCGUAGGAGGUUAUACAGGCAAAUCCGUAUAACAAUACUCCGAGAACUGAAAGGCUUUUUGAAGUCUUCGGAUGGAUAGAAGAACCCCUGAUGCCGUCGAGCCAAGAAAAGUUUCUAAGUUUAGCUAAUGUUGCCCGUACCGUAAACCGACACAGGUGGGUGGGAUGAGUAUUCUAAGGCGCGUGGAAGAACUCUCUUUAAGGAACUCUGCAAAAUAGCACCGUAUCUUCGGUAUAAGGUGUGGUUAGCUUUGUAUUAGGAUUUACUCCGAAAGCAAGGAAACUUACAACAAAGAGUCCCUCCCGACUGUUUACCAAAAACACAGCACUCUGCUAACUCGUAAGAGGAUGUAUAGGGUGUGACGCCUGCCCGGUGCUCGAAGGUUAAUUGAUGGGGUUAGCAUUAGCGAAGCUCUUGAU